GUACACGCUGUGACUAGCAUAUCAAUAAGCGGAGGAAAAGAAACUAACAAGGAUUCCCUUAGUAACGGCGAGUGAAGCGGGAAGAGCUCAAAUUUGAAAUCUUCAAGGUUUUACCUUGACGAAUUGUAGUUUAAAGAAGUGUUUUCUGCUGAAGUUUUGGUAAAAGUUCUUUGGAAUAGGACAUCAUAGAGGGUGAGAAUCCCGUAUUUGACCAUUAUUUUCAGCUUUGUGAUACACUUUCAAAGAGUCGGGUUGUUUGGGAAUGCAGCCCAAAACGGGAGGUAAAUUUCUUCUAAGGCUAAAUAUUGGCGAGAGACCGAUAGCGAACAAGUACCGUGAGGGAAAGAUGAAAAGAACUUUGAAAGAGAGUUAAACAGUACGUGAAAUUGUCAAAAGGGAAACGUUUAACACCAGUGUUGUUUUCUCGAAAAUCAAUUAAAAAUGGCUCGAUUUUGUAUUGCUGAGACCUUAAAAGCUCACUGUACAUUUUUCGUGUCUUUUUUAAUGCACUUUUCGUUUAACAAGUCAACAUCAGUUUCUUUUGUUGUAAAAGGGUCAUUGGAAGGUGGCUUUCUUUUCGGAGAAAGUGUUUAUAGCCUUCGGCCUCUGCAAUCGGAGAGACUGAGGUCUGCAGCGUAGACUCUUCGGGGUUAGAUACAUUUGUGCUAAGUUAUAGCUUUUAUAGACAACUUGUUGACUAUAAUUAGUCUUGUAGCUUACUCGCUUAUGCUAUUUUACCUACGCUUAGGAUGUUGAGUAGCGACAUACGCAC
rnacentral:rRNA from 1 species